rnacentral:rRNA from 1 species
GAACGAUGAAGGAGGAGCUUGCUCCUCCGGAUUAGUGGCGAACGGGUGAGUAAUACGUGAGCAAUGUGCCCUUGACUCUGGGAUAAGCGCUGGAAACGGCGUCUAAUACCGGAUACGACGAUCGGAGGCAUCUCCUGGUCGUGGAAAGAACUUCGGUCAAGGAUCAGCUCACGGCCUAUCAGCUAGUUGGUGAGGUAACGGCUCACCAAGGCGACGACGGGUAGCCGGCCUGAGAGGGUGACCGGCCACACUGGGACUGAGACACGGCCCAGACUCCUACGGGAGGCAGCAGUGGGGAAUAUUGCACAAUGGGCGCAAGCCUGAUGCAGCAACGCCGCGUGAGGGACGAAGGCCUUCGGGUUGUAAACCUCUUUUAGCAGGGAAGAAGCGAAAGUGACGGUACCUGCAGAAAAAGCACCGGCUAACUACGUGCCAGCAGCCGCGGUAAUACGUAGGGUGCAAGCGUUGUCCGGAAUUAUUGGGCGUAAAGAGCUCGUAGGCGGUUUGUCACGUCUGCUGUGAAAACCCGAGGCUCAACCUCGGGCUUGCAGUGGGUACGGGCAGACUAGAGUGCGGUAGGGGAGAUUGGAAUUCCUGGUGUAGCGGUGGAAUGCGCAGAUAUCAGGAGGAACACCGAUGGCGAAGGCAGAUCUCUGGGCCGUAACUGACGCUGAGGAGCGAAAGCAUGGG